rnacentral:rRNA from 1 species
GGCUCAGGAUGAACGCUAGCUACAGGCUUAACACAUGCAAGUCGAGGGGAAACGAUAGAGAAAGCUUGCUUUUUCUAGGCGUCGACCGGCGCACGGGUGAGUAACGCGUAUCCAACCUGCCCAUCACUUGGGGAUAACCUUGCGAAAGUAAGACUAAUACCCAAUGAUAUCUCUAGAAGACAUCUGAAAGAGAUUAAAGAUUUAUCGGUGAUGGAUGGGGAUGCGUCUGAUUAGCUUGUUGGCGGGGUAACGGCCCACCAAGGCGACGAUCAGUAGGGGUUCUGAGAGGAAGGUCCCCCACAUUGGAACUGAGACACGGUCCAAACUCCUACGGGAGGCAGCAGUGAGGAAUAUUGGUCAAUGGACGAGAGUCUGAACCAGCCAAGUAGCGUGCAGGAUGACGGCCCUAUGGGUUGUAAACUGCUUUUAUAAGGGAAUAAAGUGAGUCUCGUGAGACUUUUUGCAUGUACCUUAUGAAUAAGGACCGGCUAAUUCCGUG